rnacentral:rRNA from 1 species
UGGGUGGUAAAUUUCACCUAAGGCUAAAUAUAUGCAAGAGACCGAUAGCGAACAAGUACCGUGAGGGAAAGAUGAAAAGAACUUUGAAAAGAGAGUUAAACAGUACGUGAAAUUGUUGAAAGGGAAACGAUUGAAGUCAGUCAUGCUAGUGAGGAAUCAGCUUGGUGGAAUCAUCUUCCUUGUGUACUUUCUCACUUUGGCAAGUUAGCAUCAAUUUUAAUUGUCAUCAAAGAAUCGAGGGAAUGUGUCUCACCUUCGGGGGAGUGUUUAUAGACCUUGAUCAAUGUGGCGAUUGAGAUUGAGGAUUGCAGCGAAUGCUCUCGGGCUAGUCACCUGUCUCCUGGCUGUUACCUUACUUUCGACAGCUUUGCUGACGCUUGUGAGAUUUUUCGGUCUAGGUGAUAGAAUGAACAUAAAUUCGCUAAGGAUGCUGACGUAAUGGCUUUAAACGACCCGUCUUGAAACACGGACCAAGGAGUCUAACAUGUGUGCGAGUGUUUGGGUGUUAAAACCCUUAACGCGUAAUGAAAGUGAUUCUGGUGGGAACCCUCACGGGUGCACCAUCGACC